rnacentral:rRNA from 1 species
GGGCUCCUUCGGGAGCACCGGCGGACUGCUCAGUAACACGUGGACAACCUACCCUCGGGUGGGGGAUAACCUCGGGAAACUGAGGCUAAUACCCCAUAGGCCUCGGAUACUGGAAGGUUCCGAGACCGAAAGCUCCGGCGCCCGAGGAUGGGUCUGCGGCCUAUCAGGUAGUUGGUGGUGUAAAGGACCACCAAGCCUACGACGGGUACGGGCCCUGAGAGGGGGAGCCCGGAGAUGGACUCUGAGACACGAGUCCAGGCCCUACGGGGCGCAGCAGGCGCGAAACCUUCGCAAUGCGCGAAAGCGCGACGAGGGGAGCCCGAGUGCCCUUCCUUUCGGGAGGGCUUUUCUGGAGCCUAAAAAGCUCCAGGAAUAAGGGCUGGGCAAGACGGGUGCCAGCCGCCGCGGUAAUACCCGCAGCUCGAGUGGUGACCACUAUUAUUGAGCCUA